rnacentral:rRNA from 1 species
AUUGAACGCUGGCGGCAUGCCUUACACAUGCAAGUCGAACGGCAGCACGGGUGCUUGCACCUGGUGGCGAGUGGCGAACGGGUGAGUAAUACAUCGGAACAUGUCCUGUAGUGGGGGAUAGCCCGGCGAAAGCCGGAUUAAUACCGCAUACGAUCUACGGAUGAAAGCGGGGGGCCUUCGGGCCUCGCGCUAUAGGGUUGGCCGAUGGCUGAUUAGCUAGUUGGUGGGGUAAAGGCCUACCAAGGCGACGAUCAGUAGCUGGUCUGAGAGGACGACCAGCCACACUGGGGCUGAGACACGGCCCAGACUCCUACGGGAGGCAGCAGUGGGGAAUUUUGGACAAUGGGCGAAAGCCUGAUCCAGCAAUGCCGCGUGUGUGAAGAAGGCCUUCGGGUUGUAAAGCACUUUUGUCCGGAAAGAAAUCCUUGGCCCUAAUACGGUCGGGGGAUGACGGUACCGGAAGAAUAAGCACCGGCUAACUACGUG